GUUCUCGUCUUCUCUUCGAUGAGAGUCCUGUGCUUUUAACCGCCAUUUUUACCACAGUCAGUAACUAUUUCGAAUCGCAAGAUGGCGCCAAUUUGCUAGUUGAACUUUUAUAUAUGAACACGAUGGAAUUCGGAAAAGUAGCGCUGCAGCGGGAUGUUGACAACAACAAUACAAUUUUGACUGUUCAGUGUUGCGGUGUUUGAUCAGUCAGAAUCAUAGUCGUGAAUCAUAGUCAAUUUUCUCAGUUUUAAUGGUCUUAUUUUAGGGAGUUACCCUCUCAGAGUUGAUGGAGGCAAAAAGAACCUUCAGCCCGUCAAAACUGGACAUACAAACAGGUGAGGUGUGCAGAUCCACAAAGGGAAUGAGUGUCCAGAAAAGACUUCCUGAAGACACGACAGAAACCAGCCCGUCCCUGAGGCAGGAACUGCAGUCUGAGGAGCACUAUUGUGAACACCUGGAUAAGCAAGGAAACUGGAAAAGAAGACCAGGAACCAAACCUGACAGGCCUUCCUUUUGCGUCUCAUCAGUUAAGGGAGCAUGUGGUUUCACUCCCAGUCUAAAGAGUCACAGCACCUCGAUAGAGUCUGAAUGGACAGAUGAAAAUGACAACAUCCUUUAUGGUUCCUAUGAUGCAUCUCUGACACAGCAGCUGACUGAAGACCGUGAUCUCAGUGCUGACCUGACCAGCCUACUCACUGAGGUACCAUUAUUGUGUGUGUGUUUCUCUAGUAUUACUCAUUGCUGUUGUUCAAACAUGUAUUUAUAUAACUAUAUAUCU